AUUGAACGCUGGCGGCAGGCCUAACACAUGCAAGUCGAACGAGUGGCGGACGGGUGAGUAAUGUCUGGGAAACUGCCUGAUGGAGGGGGAUAACUAUUGGAAACGGUAGCUAAUACCGCAUACCAUCGGAUGUUCCCAGAUGGGAUUAGCUAGUAGGUGGGGGAAAGGCUCACCUGGGCGACGAUCCCUAGCUGGGCUGAGAGGAUGACCGGCCACACUGGCAAUGGUACACGGUCCAGACUCCUACGUGAGGCAGCAGUGGGGAAUAUUGCGCAAUGGGCGCAAGCGUGGUGAAGCCAUGCCGCGUGUAUGAAGAAGGCCUUCGGGUUGUAAAGUACUUUCAGCGGGGAGGCGUUACCUGCAGAAGAAGCACCGGCUAACUCCGUGCCAGCAGCCGCGGUAAUAC
rnacentral:rRNA from 1 species